AUAGCGUAUGAUAAACUUGUUGCGGUUAAAAAGCUCGUAGUUGGAUUUUGGGAUCUAUGCCGUUGGUCCGAUGUAAAUCGCGUACUGACAGCUGGGUUCUUCUGUCUGGAGACUGACCUAGCGCUCUUCACUGGGUGUUAGGCGGGAUCUAGGACCUUUACUUUGAACAAAUUAGAGUGUUUAAAGCAGGCUUAUGCCUUGAAUACAUUAGCAUGGAAUAAUCGAAUAGGACUUUGGUUCUAUUUUGUUGGUUUAAGAGCCGAAGUAAUGAUUAAUAGGGACAGUUGGGGGCAUUAAUAUUUAAUUGUCAGAGGUGAAAUUCUUAGAUUUAUGAAAGAUUAACUACUG
rnacentral:rRNA from 1 species